UUCCCCAAAAUCCCCCAAAAACCUUCCUCGAAAUCCCCCAGAAAACUCCCAAAAUCCUCCAAAAUCCUUCCCCAAAAUCCCCCAAAUCCUUCCUCAAAAUACCCAAAAAAAACCUCCAAAAUCCUUCCCUAAAAUCCCCCCCAAAAAACCCCAAAUCCUUCCUCAAAAUCCUUCCCCAAAAUCCCCCAAAUCCUUUCCCCAAAAACCCCAAAAUCCUUCCCAAAAAACCCCAAAAUCCUUCCCAAAAAUCCCCCCAAAAACCUUCCCUAAAACUCCCCAAAAUCCCCCCAGAAAACUCAAAAUCCCUUCCUCAAAAUCCCCCCAAAAAUCCCAAAAUGCUUCCACAAAAUCCUCCAAAAUCCUUCCACCAAAAACUCCAAAAUCUCUCCCCAAAAUCCAACCCCAAACCCCCCCAAAACCCCAAAAUCCUUUCCCAAAAUCCCUCUCCCCAAAAAAACUGGCCGGGAAUGUUGGGGGAGGGGUCCUGGGGGGAUUUGGGGGCUCCUGGAGGAAUCUGGGAAGGUUCUGGAAGGUUCUGGAAAGUUCCAGUGGGAUCUGGGAUGGUUCUGGAGGACCUGGAAGGUUCUGGAAGGUUCCAUUGGGGAUCUGGGAGAGUUCUGGAAGGUUCUGGAAGGAUCUGUGGGGAUCUGGGAAAGGUUCUGGAAGGUUCUGGAAAGUUCCAGUGGAAUCUAUGAUGGUUCUGGAAGGUUCCAUGGGGAUCUGGGAAGGUUCUGGAAGGUUCCAGAGAUCAU
ensembl:lncRNA